UGCAGCCUGGGAAACUGGCCUGGCUACCUAGCCCUCCAUUUUCACUGCCAACAGGUGAUCUUGUCUCCCUACCCACUUCCAGGAGAGGACAGAACCCUCUCCUGGCCACAGUGCAACAGCCACACCCGACAGUAUUUUCAAUAUCAUUCCAUAAAAGCGGUUAUUUUUUAAGCGAAAAAUAGAAAGCUACGGGGGCACCCAGCCCAGUGCCACCGAGCCUGGGCUGGAACGGGCACAAAACCAUGGUGUGGUCCCGACGAGCCGCCCGUCUUCGAGGGCACCCGACAGAAUCCGGCCGCAGCCUCCGAGGAGGCGCCGGGGCCAAGCAAGAGGGAGGAUUCGAGUCAGGGCCGGGCCGGCCCCGCUCGGCCGAGCUCACGGCUGCCCGCCUGCCUUGCUCGGAGGCAGCAAAUAGCCCAGUCCCGGCCCCAAGCAGAGGCCCCGGCGGGAGCUAGAGCAGUGCGAGAAGGAGGCCCCACCACAGACAGCCCCACCACGACGGGAAGUGGCCCGGGACCACCGCCUCGCACGAGUCUGACCGCUCGGCACGGCUCGGCUCAGCACGGCACGGCUCCAUUUCACCUGCCGCGUCGGCUUGCCCGGCCCCGCGUCCACCCGAGCCGGGAGUGGCUCCCGGCCCAGGCCCACUGCCCAGGGAAGUGGCAACGCCUCUCUCCCCUCUCCCGGCGCUCAACAGAUGCACAGAUCCACCAGCAGUGUACAAACAGCAUAGGUUCAGAGACUUCAAGAACAAGUAGAGCCAUGCUCCUCGGCCAGCUGAGUACUCUGAAUAAACAAGCCGUGCCUUAAAGGUCAGCCCUGCUAGAUCACCUUCUGCUUUGGGAAUAGAAACAAUCCCAUGUGGAGACAAAUCCUGAGGGUUGAGCUGCUCAGAUUCCUCAGACCCUAUAACUGGGGGUGCAAGACUUGACAGCAAGGUCCUUUGAACGUGCUGAAAAUAGAUGCUGGGGACAUGAAAGGUUUCAGAAGGCCCAGCUUCGGGGCCCCCUAAAAUGAGUGACCUGACACUGGUUUGAUGAUAAUGUGCAGGCUGUUUUCAACCUACACGUCUGGCAGCCUUGCUGAAGAACUGAAACAUCACCACUUGGCUGCCACAGCUCAAACUCUUGGGGUGUUAUUCUGCACUAAGAGAUCCUGUCUCUCUUCAGGCCAAAACGGGCAAACUGGAGGCUCUCAAGGACACAAAGGGCGCACUGACAUGACAUCUCAGGUCAGUCCAACUCAUGAGCUGGCAGCUCUUUGCUGACCUGCACAAAGUCACACAGCAGAAGGGCAUCAAAAUGCAGAGCAAGGAAGCCAUCUUAAAGGCAGAACCUCCUCACUAGAGGAGGGUCACACACCUGCUGACAUCUAGGACACUUGGGAGCAGAGGUCCCUACUGCUGGAGAAGGAAAGCUGGGUGACAGAAGGUUCAGUUAUCCAGCACAGCAGACAGCUCUGAGGCUGAGCCUUGCACAAAGGUGCCAGUGGUACACUGGUGACUCAGGGAGGGGGAGAGUAAUCCCAGAGGGGGAAAAUAAAGCAUCUAAAGGAAAAGCUUCUUUUGUGGGAACUUUUUCAGAGACUUUCACAGCUCGGACAGUCAGGAGCUGAGGAAAACUUCUGCUAGUGGUACCUAAUGCAAUAACACAAGGCAGUUCUCCUUCAGAGAUACAGGUGGGUCAUUGUGACACAUACCUGGGAAAUCUAACCCACCAGUCACGAGGCCUGUUAUCAAUACACCAAAAGUGGCAGCAGGAGGUGAAUGUGAAGUAGCUUGAGAGCAUGGAAAAAAACACCACAGUGUCUCUGAGAGGAGAGGGCCCUGGCUCUAGUGCUAAUAAAAGAAGAAAUUGCCUUAAUUUAUUGUAAGGCUCUGAACACCAGACCACUGUAAGAUGCAGUAAGAGAUCAGUGUUUCCAGGCCAAAUCAUCUUGUUGCUGCUUGUUCUUGGCUGAAGGAUAUACUGUACAACUGUCACCGCGGAACUGCAAAAUGAGGCAGCUCUCUGAGAUCACGCUUGAAUUGUUCCUCAGAUUCUGCUCCCAAGUGGAAGUAACUGUUUGGAGUUGUACACCCUUUCAUGAAACAGCUCUUCUGGUGCUCAUACUUGGGCAUACACUCCAUGUCAGGAAAUGGCAGGUGGAGGUCCUAGCAUGAGAGGUCUUUCUCAUGUGGGUGCGUGGAAGGAUUAGUGAUGCUAAAGCUAUGGAAAGCUUAGGAUUGCAGUGCUGCUGUCCUCCUUGUAUGUCCCAGGCUGAGAGUUCUGGCAAUCCCUGGGCAGAUAUACUACAGAUGUGAGUGCAGCCAGCACAUUGCCCUAGAUGUUUGGGCCAGCAGGCACUGCCCUUGCUCUGCCUCUAUUAACAAACUGGGUUGAACAACUUGGAACCAGUCCAGUCCAGCACCAGACCCACAGUAACUGUCUCCAUGUACAUCAAGGAAGGGAGUAACAGCUCCUUUGUUGAGACACUGGAAGUAGAUGCCUAAAAUACUUCGCAAGGUCUGUGUGGCUAGGCUUUCAUCCAGCACUGCCUCAGUACAUCUGUAGCCUUGGGUGCACCUUCCAGGGCACCAGCAAUGGUGGGAAUGUUGGGAGAUGCUUCACUGGAGAUUUCCUGUGCUACUCCUGAACUGCAUUUGAGCUCAGGUCCUCAGCCUUGACCUCAACUCAGCUGUACUCCACUGAAGCUUGUGCCGGGCCCACUCACUGGGUCAGCAGUCACUCGACCCUGGCUAACCCUGGUUACUGACGCCAAACUCUCUGCUCCUUCUGCAUGGUGAGUAUGGAGCUGUCAUGCUGUCACCUUGUCUCCUGCUCAUCUGUCAUCCCUUCCUGCCUCCAGCACUCCAAGCCCCCAUGGCUGAAAGAGGGGACAGGAGCAGGAGCAGCUCAGUGUGCUCUUGUGAUGAGGGAGCCAAUAAUACCACAGAACAUUCUGUGAAAGCCUUGUGUUAAAUAGGUCAAACUACUGCCCAGAUACUCCUAUGAGUGUUUACCAUGUGGGCUCACCAUGGGGAGCUCUUUGCUGCAACAAAGAUCAAGUGCUGGACUGAUUGGGGAUCACAGUUCACUCAGAUACUCAGAUGGGUGAUGAGAUCUCUGUCCUUGGAGAUUUUCAAGGUUUGGCUAUGCAAAACCAUGGGUUACCUGAUCUAGUAUUGGUGAUGAUCUCAUUUCAAGCAAGAGUUUGAGCUAAUGCUCAUGAAAGAUCCCUCCCAACCAACAUGUCUGUAACUCCAUAUCAGGGAGCUAGAGGUUUGAGCUGGGCUCAAAUUCACCAUAUGUGGUGAAUUCUCCAGUAUUUCAGCACAGACCUCUUGUAUCCAGUGUCUCAAAGACCUUAUUGUAUGGAACCAGGCUGACUUGGUUUGGUUGCAGGCAUUGCUGGCUGAAGUUCUUUGGAUUGUGUGCUGUGAGAGUUCUCUCUGGCAAAUGGUCUUAGCAAGUAUGAAGAAAAGAAAAAAGCAUCCCUGUUCUUCAUUAAUCCUGUGUGUUUUUUGAAGAUGAUGAUAUUGAAUAGCCCAGGACAGUCCUUUGGAAAAGGACAGUUGAAGAUAUUUUACCAUUUGUAAAAAUACAUGUUUUUAAUCACCAAUCAGCAGGUUUGGUGUGUUUGUCUUUUUCUUUUUUUUUUUUUUUUUUUUUUUUUUUUUUUUUUUUUUUUCCUUAGCAGUCAUGAUGUACAUUUAUAUAACUAGCCAGGUGUUCUGCAAUGGGGCUUUUAAAAAAUCCUCCAGUCCUAAUUUUUUCUGCCUUACCAUCCUUUGCAGAGUAAGCAGCAGUGCUGCCGCGUUACUGCUUGGCAAUGCAGCAGCUGGCUCUAACCCAACUGUGCAGCAUGGGACAUGGAAACAGAUGGAGCAGCAAAUGCUCUUUGUUUCCUUUCCUGCUUUCUAAAACAGAUUGUGAGUAAAACAUACAGGGGAGGUUUUUGCCAUCUUCCCUGCUACUGUGGCUCCCUGGCUGCUGACAAAGCCAUGGCAUUAUAUGGCGGGGGGGGGUGUGGGUAACAUCUCCCCUCAGCAAAGGAGGGAAGUGUCCUUUGAGAGGAGAGCUGCCAAGAGAGGAAGGACAUUAGAUACAAUGUCAACAUGCCCUUGCAUGGGAAGGAAGGGUGCAGUGGGUGAAAUGGCUGAACAGAGCUGAGGGUUCAACAAGUCCUGCUUCUCUUGAUGCUCUGAGUCCUGAUUCUGGUGUUUAUCUGAGCUUGCAUGAACCCCAUCAGCUCAUUAAACUGGCAUGGAUCAAAAGUGAGUGGUGUUUUGACAGUUAGGAACCUGUAUUGGCCUUAUGGUUGAUCUGGCAAGCACUGGGAAGAGAAUGAAGAGUGCAGCCACACUCCAGGAUGGGCCAGAAGAACAGGGGACGAAGGUGGAUGUGGGAUGUCCCUUGUGAAACAGAUCGACUCUGCUGUCCAGGGUAGUCCUUGUCCCAAGGCUAGACAAGACACAGGAAGGGAGGUCCAUGCUCCCAGGUAAUUUUCUAUGAGCCAAACUCUGAGGCUGCUGGCUGUGAAGGUCAGGAAAAUGUCCCCAGCAGAGGUCUGUCUGCCUUACUUCAAAAUUCCUGUGGGAUGAAAACUCCUCAAAAUAGGUACUUAUGCUCCUUACACCAAAUCAGUUACAGGUUCCCAAAGGACUUCUACUGUAUCACAGCCUCUCAUACUUCUCUGUUUCUUGUAAAAUCUACUGUUCUCAAAUAUAUUUCUGCUAAGGAUUUACUGGUCAAGCUGGGCAGUAGUGCUCUCUGCCCCACAGGAGAUGUUAUACUCUGGAAAACAUGAAACUGUUUCUCUACCAGCAGCCUUGAGCUGGGGGACACCUGCCCAGAGCAGAGGCCAAUUGCUGAGAUGCCUGUGACCAUGGCUUAUUACACAAGAUUGAGCUAGUACCACCGGUGCACCCAAACAGCAGCAUGAGCAGCGGAGACAGAGCUGUGCCACCUCCCUGUACCACCCUGCUUGCUCUCCCACUGGGGUGCAAGUGCUGCUUGGCCCUCUGGCUUUGCUGUGGCUGAUGUUUGUGCCACACAAUGUAAUAUUGCAGGUUCUUGGCAAGAACUGAGUUUAUUGUUUAGCCACAGGCAGAACCUGUAACUCCUCAAGUUAAUCCUACAAUCUGAUGUUUUCUUAUCACAAGCCUUGACAAACUAAUUGAAUCCCUAUUUCUAUGAGUAACCUGGAAGGCCAGGGGGAAAGAUGGGGAUUUGUGAGAUCACUUUGACCAUUUCUGACCAGUGCAGAGGCAUUUCUGGGGAUAAUUCAUUCUGGCCUUGUUGUCUCUAGGAUAACCAUUCAGACACCUAUCUGAAAUCCCACCAAGUUGUUUUGCCUAUUUUUUCUCAGCUUCAUCCCAUUAUUCCUGUUCUUCUUAACUAACACAAAAAAAUUUCUUCCAUUUUGUUGUUUAUAGGUGUCUUCAACUGAAAUUUAUGCACGUUGUUAUUUCUUAAUGUAUCCUUUCAAUAAAAUAAAAUAGUUUUCAUUUUUUAAAAUUCAA